AUAUAGACGAAGAAGAGAAGAGUACAGAAUGAAUGCUUUUCAGAGAGCCUCCGGUUUGGUGAAAGAGAGGUAAAGAGGAAAUUCUGGAAGAUGGCCUUGGAGUCUUGCAUCUGAAUAAUCAGGAUGCACGGAUGCCACCGUUAAAGGGCAGGGUGAUAAGGAGUCACCUUUUGAGGCAGUCUGCUGUGAAGCGGCUGCAAAGUAGAGUGGUAACACGUUGUAAAACACGUCUCUAUG
rnacentral:ncRNA from 1 species